rnacentral:ncRNA from 1 species
GAUGACAAAGCCAAACCUGUCGCAAGGCAGGGACGGAAAGCCACAGGUCUCAUUGAGAUAGCUGGGUUGCCAUUG